rnacentral:rRNA from 1 species
GACGAACGCUGGCGGCGUGCUUAACACAUGCAAGUCGUACGGUAAGGCCCUUUCGGGGGUACACGAGUGGCGAACGGGUGAGUAACACGUGAGUAACCUGCCCACAACUUUGGGAUAACGCUAGGAAACUGGUGCUAAUACUGGAUAUGUGCUCCUGCUGCAUGGUGGGGGUUGGAAAGCUCCGGCGGUUGUGGAUGGACUCGCGGCCUAUCAGCUUGUUGGUGGGGUAGUGGCCUACCAAGGCGGCGACGGGUAGCCGGCCUGAGAGGGUGACCGGCCACAUUGGGACUGAGAUACGGCGCAGACUCCUACGGGAGGCAGCAGGGGGGAAUAUUGCACAGUGGGCGCGAGCCUGAUGCAGCAACGCCGCGUGCGGGAUGACGGCCUUCGGGUUGUAAACCGCUUUCAGCAGGGACGAAGCUUUUUGUGACGGUACCUGCAGAAGAAGCACGGGCUAACUACGU